rnacentral:hammerhead_ribozyme from 1 species
AUCCAGCUGGCGAGUCCCAUAUAGGACGAAAUGCGCAUCCUGGAU